rnacentral:lncRNA from 1 species
GCUCCACGAGAUUGGGACAAGGAAUCCAAACCCGCCCUCGGUCGCUCUGCGGCAAAAGAACGCACUAGCUUGGAUCGCUUUGAUCGACGUGCCUUCUUCACGCUUGUGGUGGACAGGUUGCGCAGCGACCUUCCAGCGGCCGUGACGAAGUCCGCCAGUACCUCGUCACUGAAAAGGAAACAAAACUUGUGGAAGUAAGAAAAGGCAGCAAAGAUUCACCUGAAGUCAAACGAUGGUGUCCCAGUGCUCGAGAUAUUGAGCUCUUCCAGUGUCGGCCCCCUAGCCACCAUGAGCUCACUUAGCAAUUUGUCGGUUCACGCUCGCGAGACCGCUGCAGCAAUUGGUCGGAGAGUGCUCGGCCACAGAGCCCGAGCUCCAAAGCCUGAAAAAAAAAAAGUUAUACAUUGUAAACGGAGAGAGAGAGAGAGAGAGCAACCUGGACUCCAUCGAGGGGAGAGUUUUCCAUCAACUCCUGGGAUGAAGAUCCGCGUGAGAGGUCCUGCCAGGAUUAUCUGCACUGCCUUGGGACAAGCUCGUAUAGCUUGGACGUAAUGCACGGCUUUAAAGCCUCCCGCACCCCUUCCAAGGACUCGACGUGAUCGAUCUUCUGGCAGAAAAGCUCGAUUAGCAGCUUAUACCACGCGAAGAAAGUGUGAGAAUUCUUGCAAGCUUUGCUCGUCCUGACUAUGGAAGCUUACCAGUCAUAGUCGUUCUUCUCCGGCUCCAAGCCUAGCAGAUCGUUAGGGCUCUUCUGCUGCAGUCGCGGAGCACAGAUUGACGGCGAGGCUGGUGGAGCCGCCACCUCCAAAGAUCAUCGAGUGGCGUGCGC